CCAGCCUGGAGUCCUGAAGCCCUGGGACUUCAUGACAUAUAUCUAUAUAGAUGGUCAGAAAUUGGAGAUAAUAGGAUUUAGGUAUUCUCCCUAGGGUGCCCCCUCUGCCAGCCACAGGAUUGGGCCAAUCAGGAGCUGUUGCCAGAAAGCCUCCCA